rnacentral:rRNA from 1 species
GACGAACGCUGGCGGCGUGCUUAACACAUGCAAGUCGAACGGAAAGGCCCUGCUUUUGUGGGGUGCUCGAGUGGCGAACGGGUGAGUAACACGUGAGUAACCUGCCCUUGACUUUGGGAUAACUUCAGGAAACUGGGGCUAAUACCGGAUAGGAGCUCCUGCUGCAUGGUGGGGGUUGGAAAGUUUCGGCGGUUGGGGAUGGACUCGCGGCUUAUCAGCUUGUUGGUGGGGUAGUGGCUUACCAAGGCUUUGACGGGUAGCCGGCCUGAGAGGGUGACCGGCCACAUUGGGACUGAGAUACGGCCCAGACUCCUACGGGAGGCAGCAGUGGGGAAUAUUGCACAAUGGGCGGAAGCCUGAUGCAGCAACGCCGCGUGCGGGAUGACGGCCUUCGGGUUGUAAACCGCUUCCGCCUGUGACGAAGCGUGAGUGACGGUAAUGGGUAAAGAAGCACCGGCUAACUACGUGUCAGCAGCCGCGGUGAUACGUAGGGUGCGAGCGUUGUCCGGAUUUAUUGGGCGUAAAGGGCUCGUAGGUGGUUGAUCGCGUCGGAAGUGUAAUCUUGGGGCUUAACCCUGAGCGUGCUUUCGAUACGGGUUGACUUGAGGAAGGUAGGGGAGAAUGGAAUUCCUGGUGGAGCGGUGGAAUGCGCAGAUAUCAGGAGGAACACCAGUGGCGAAGGCGGUUCUCUGGGCCUUUCCUGACGCUGAGGAGCGAAAGCGUGGGGAGCGAACAGGCUUAGAUACCCUGGUAGUCCACGCUGUAAACGGUGGGUACUAGGUGUGGGGUCCAUUCCACGGGUUCCGUGCCGUAGCUAACGCUUUAAGUACCCCGCCUGGGGAGUACGGCCGCAAGGCUAAAACUCAAAGGAAUUGACGGGGCCCCGCACAAGCGGCGGAGCAUGCGGAUUAAUUCGAUGCAACGCGUAGAACCUUACCUGGGUUUGACAUGGAUCGGGAGCGCUCAGAGAUGGGUGUGCCUCUUUUGGGGUCGGUUCACAGGUGGUGCAUGGCUGUCGUCAGCUCGUGUCGUGAGAUGUUGGGUUAAGUCCCGCAACGAGCGCAACCCUUGUUCACUGUUGCCAGCACGUUAUGGUGGGGACUCAGUGGAGACCGCCGGGGUCAACUCGGAGGAAGGUGGGGAUGACGUCAAGUCAUCAUGCCCCUUAUGUCCAGGGCUUCACGCAUGCUACAAUGGCUGGUACAGAGAGUGGCGAGCCUGUGAGGGUGAGCGAAUCUUGGAAAGCCGGUCUCAGUUCGGAUUGGGGUCUGCAACUCGACCUCAUGAAGUCGGAGUCGCUAGUAAUCGCAGAUCAGCAACGCUGCGGUGAAUACGUUCCCGGGGCU